AGUACUACUGGUUACAUAUCUGCAUCCUAAUGGAUCAGCCUCAUCAUGCUGUACGCCACCAAAUGGAUACUCAAAAGCAGCAGCAUCCACAUCUAAUGAGACAAGUCCUGCUACAUAUAUAAGUAGUAAAAGUAGUAUUAGAUAACGUAUAUGACUUUAACAAGAUUUUUUUUAUAAAAAAUAUAAAUAGUAAGAGUAAGAUUGGAAUGCUUACACCAUCAUCUAAAAUAAUCUG
rnacentral:lncRNA from 1 species